UACGGAGGGUGCAAGCGUUAUCCGGAUUUACUGGGUUUAAAGGGAGCGUAGGCGGCCUUAUAAGUCAGUGGUGAAAUCUUUGGGCUUAACCCAAAAAUUGCCAUUGAUACUGUAGGGCUUGAGUACAGUUGCUGUGGGCGGAAUAUGACAUGUAGUGGUGAAAUACAUAGAGAUGUCAUAGAACACCGAUUGCGAAGGCAGCUCACAAAACUGUAACUGACGCUGAGGCUCGAAAGUGCGGGGAUCAAACAGG
rnacentral:rRNA from 1 species